rnacentral:rRNA from 1 species
AGAGUUUGAUCCUGGCUCAGAUUGAACGCUGGCGGUAUGCUUAACACAUGCAAGUCGAACGGUAACAUUGGAGCUUGCUCCAGAUGACGAGUGGCGGACGGGUGAGUAACGCGUAGGAAUCUGCCUAGUAGUGGGGGAUAACUUGGGGAAACCCAAGCUAAUACCGCAUAAGCCCCAUGGGGGAAAGCGGGGGAUCUUCGGACCUCGCGCUAUUAGAUGAGCCUGCGUUGGAUUAGCUAGUUGGUAGGGUAAGAGCCUACCAAGGCGACGAUCCAUAGCUGGUCUGAGAGGAUGAUCAGCCACACUGGGACUGAGACACGGCCCAGACUCCUACGGGAGGCAGCAGUGGGGAAUAUUGGACAAUGGGCGCAAGCCUGAUCCAGCAAUACCGCGUGUGUGAAGAAGGCCUGCGGGUUGUAAAGCACUUUCAGUAGGGAGGAAAAGUAAGUAGUUAAUAACUGCUACCCUGACGUUACCUACAGAAGAAGCACCGGCUAACUCAGUGCCAGCAGCCGCGGUAAUACGGAGGGUGCAAGCGUUAAUCGGAAUUACUGGGCGUAAAGCGCGCGUAGGCGGUUAGAUAAGUCAGAUGUGAAAGCCCCGGGCUCAACCUGGGAACUGCAUUUGAAACUGUUUAACUAGAGUGUGGUAGAGGAGAGUGGAAUUUCAGGUGUAGCGGUGAAAUGCGUAGAUAUCUGAAGGAACACCAGUGGCGAAGGCGGCUCUCUGGACCGAUACUGACGCUGAGGUACGAAAGUGUGGGGAGCAAACAGGAUUAGAUACCCUGGUAGUCCACACCGUAAACGAUGACUACUAGCCGUUGGGAGACUUGAUCUCUUAGUGGCGCAGCUAACGCAAUAAGUAGACCGCCUGGGGAGUACGGCCGCAAGGUUAAAACUCAAAUGAAUUGACGGGGGCCCGCACAAGCGGUGGAGCAUGAGGUUUAAUUCGAUGCAACGCGAAGAACCUUACCUACCCUUGACAUACAGAGAACUUUCCAGAGAUGGAUUGGUGCCUUCGGGAACCGAGAGACAGGUGCUGCAUGGCUGUCGUCAGCUCGUGUUGUGAGAUGUUGGGUUAAGUCCCGUAACGAGCGCAACCCUUAUUGUUAGUUGCCAGCACGUAAUGGUGGGGACUCUAACGAGACUGCCGGUGACAAGCCGGAGGAAGGUGGGGACGACGUCAAGUCAUCAUGGCCCUUAUGGGUAGGGCUACACGCGUGCUACAAUGGCCGGUACAGAGGGCUGCAAACUCGCGAGAGUAAGCCAAUCCCUUAAAGCCGGUCCUAGUCCGGAUUGCAGUCUGCAACUCGACUGCAUGAAGCUGGAAUCGCUAGUAAUCGCGGAUCAGAAUGCCGCGGUGAAUUCGUUCCCGGGCCUUGUACACACCGCCCGUCACACCAUGGGAGUGGGUUGUAAAAGAAGUAGGUAGGCUAACCUUCGGGAGGCCGCUUACCACUUUGUGAUUCAUGACUGGGGUGAAGUCGUAACAAGGUAGCC